UGCAGCAAGAUAUGGGCGCUCUUGGCUA
rnacentral:piRNA from 1 species